rnacentral:rRNA from 1 species
AUUGAACGCUGGCGGCAGGCCUAACACAUGCAAGUCGAACGGUAGCACAGAGAGCUUGCUCUCGGGUGACGAGUGGCGGACGGGUGAGUAAUGUCUGGGAAACUGCCUGAUGGAGGGGGAUAACUACUGGAAACGGUAGCUAAUACCGCAUAACGUCGCAAGACCAAAGAGGGGGACCUUCGGGCCUCUUGCCAUCAGAUGUGCCCAGAUGGGAUUAGCUAGUAGGUGGGGUAACGGCUCACCUAGGCGACGAUCCCUAGCUGGUCUGAGAGGAUGACCAGCCACACUGGAACUGAGACACGGUCCAGACUCCUACGGGAGGCAGCAGUGGGGAAUAUUGCACAAUGGGCGCAAGCCUGAUGCAGCCAUGCCGCGUGUAUGAAGAAGGCCUUCGGGUUGUAAAGUACUUUCAGCGGGGAGGAAGGCGAUAAGGUUAAUAACUUUGUCGAUUGACGUUACCCGCAGAAGGAGCACCGGCUAACUCCGUGCCAGCCGCCGCCGUAA